AACUUUUAACAAUGGAUCACUUGGCUCUCGCAUCGAUGAAGAACGCAGCGAAAUGCGAUACGUAAUGUGAAUUGCUGAAUUCAGUGAAUCAUCGAAUCUUUGAACGCACCUUGCGCCCCUUGGAAUUCAGAGGGGCACACCCGUUUGAGUGUCGUGAACAUCCUUCAACCUUUCUUGGUUUCUUAACCGGGGAAGGCUUGGACUUUGGGGGUCUUUCAUUGCUGGCCUCUUUGAAGCCAGCUCCUCCUAAAUGGAUUAGUGUGGUCUGCUUUACCGAUCCUUGACGUGAUAAGAUGUUUCUACGUCUUGGGUUUCGCACUGUCGCUUUAGACCCCGCUUCUAACCGUCUUGCAUUCAAGACAGAGUUUUAAACCUUGACCUCAAAUCGGGUGAGACUACCCGCUGAACUUAUGCAUAUCAAUAAGCGGAGGCU
rnacentral:misc_RNA from 1 species